CCCGCCAGCAGGGGGUGGGGCUUAAGGCAAGAUGUCGCCUGCGGCCUAGGCAGGGCCGUGUGGGCCCCGCCGGCCCCACCCAAGCUGGCUUCGUGUUGGGGGACCUUGUGUCUGGAGCUGCCCGAGCUGAGAGGCCGAGCGCGGCGGGUGUGAGGCCAGGCCAGGAGGCUCUGAAUGAGGAAACUGAAGUGUGGACAGACUGAGGGAUUUGUGCAGCCUGCUGCGGAGCCCGUAUGCUCCUCGCUCUGGUUGACCCUGGCAAGGCUGAGCAGUGCGGUUGCCCAGGAUGAAAGGGCUGCUCACCAUUACCCAACAGUGCUCCCAUCAUCCCUGCCCUGCGUGGGAGGCUUCAUCACUUCUGCUUAAUCCACAGGCACAGGUAUCAAAUGCAUGAAGAAGCUGUGAACAUUUGCUGAGCACCUACUGUGUACCAGGCCUGGUGAUGGGGGCUUCUCACAGGAACAUCUUAAUUGGCAUGAAAAAGCGAUGGGGUCAGAAGGAUCAUGUGAAAUGAACCUGCCUGGUGAAGCCACACUGAAAUAACCACAGUUCAACUUUCUGCUGUCCAGCCAUUUGAAUCAUCUGUGCCUUUAUUAUUUCCCGAUUUUAUUUUAUUUUUCAGAACUCACCAUUCCACCUUGUUGUGUUCAGUAUGCUGGCACACAUUAAUCAUUACUGGGGUCAGUGGCAAGAUGAGCCCUUAACAUUCGAUUACCAAGAAUUUGUCAUUUCUCAUUAGUGAUAUGUUCAAAAUCACUAGAGAUUUAUUCCUGGACAGCUUGUCAAAAUCUAUAUGAUCUUACAACCUGUGUGUUUGUCUUUCCAGAACUGUGAGGGCACUUGGAACCCUAGCAAGAUUUUCCAAAGAAAACACAGUACAACACCAUGAUCUCUUUCAUCCUCUGUUAUCCUGCACAUCAAAACGACUUCUUUACUUAUCAAGGGGCUCUCUCACAGCUGUAAAAUUUACCUCCCUACCUCCUCCCAUCUUCACAGACUCGAGGUGCCUCUUUGAAGAAGCACUGCAUUCUGUGUC